rnacentral:rRNA from 1 species
GACGAACGCUGGCGGCGUGCUUAACACAUGCAAGUCGAACGAAGUGGCGAACGGGUGAGUAACGCGUAAUCACCCUGCCCUUCAGAGGGGGACAACAGUUGGAAACGACUGCUAAUACCGCAUACUGAAGGAGGGGAUUGCGUCUGAUCAGCUAGUUGGGGGGGUAACGGCCCACCAAGGCGAUGAUCAGUAGCCGGUCUGGGAGGAUGAACCGCCAAAUUUGGGCUGGGAAACGGCCCAAACUCCUACGGGAGGCCGCAGGUGGGAAUUUUCGGCAAUGGAGGGAAGGCUGACGGAGGAACGCCGCGUGAGUGAUGAAGGGCUUCGGGUUGGAAAGCUCUGUUAAUCGGGACGCGGUACCGGAAUAGAAAGCCACGGCUAACUACGUGCCAGCAGCCGCGGUAAUAC